GAUGAACGCUCGCGGCGUGCCUAAUACAUGCAAGUCGAGCGAACGGACGAGAAGCUUGCUUCUCUGAUGUUAGCGGCGGACGGGUGAGUAACACGUGGAUAACCUACCUAUAAGACUGGGAUAACUUCGGGAAACCGGAGCUAAUACCGGAUAAUAUUUUGAACCGCAUGGUUCAAAAGUGAAAGACGGUCUUGCUGUCACUUAUAGAUGGAUCCGCGCUGCAUUAGCUAGUUGGUAAGGUAACGGCUUACCAAGGCAACGAUGCAUAGCCGACCUGAGAGGGUGAUCGGCCACACUGGAACUGAGACACGGUCCAGACUCCUACGGGAGGCAGCAGUAGGGAAUCUUCCGCAAUGGGCGAAAGCCUGACGGAGCAACGCCGCGUGAGUGAUGAAGGUCUUCGGAUCGUAAAACUCUGUUAUUAGGGAAGAACAUAUGUGUAAGUAACUGUGCACAUCUUGACGGUACCUAAUCAGAAAGCCACGGCUAACUACGUG
rnacentral:rRNA from 1 species